rnacentral:rRNA from 1 species
CGGGCGAGAUGCCGGUCUAAGUCCCUUGGAACGGGGCGUCAUAGAGGGUGAGAAUCCCGUAUGUGACCGGUAAUCGAGCCCAUGUGAAACUCCUUCGACGAGUCGAGUUGUUUGGGAAUGCAGCUCAAAAUGGGUGGUAAAUUUCAUCUAAAGCUAAAUACUGGCCAGAGACCGAUAGCGCACAAGUAGAGUGAUCGAAAGAUGAAAAGCACUUUGGAAAGAGAGUCAAAAAGUACGUGAAAUUGUUGAAAGGGAAGCGCUUGCAACCAGACCUGUCCACAGGCGAUCAGCCGUCCUUCUGGGCGGUGCAUUCGCCUGUGAUCAGGCCAGCAUCGGUUCGGGCGGCCGGAUAAAGGCCUUGGGAACGUAGCUUCUUUCGGGGAGUGUUAUAGCCCUUGGUGCAAUGCGGCCAGCCUGGACCGAGGACCGCGCUUCGGCUAGGAUGCUGGCGUAAUGGUUGUAAGCGGCCCGUCUUGAAACACGGACCAAGGAGUCUAACAUCUAUGCGAGUGUUUGGGUGUCAAACCCAUACGCGUAAUGAAAGUGAACGGAGGUGGGAACCCCUCGAGGGCGCACCAUCGACCGAUCCUGAUGUCUUCGGAUGGAUUUGAGUACGAGCAUAGCUGUUGGGACCCGAAAGAUGGUGAACUAUGCCUGAAUAGGGUGAAGCCAGAGGAAACUCUGGUGGAGGCUCGCAGCGGUUCUGACGUGCAAAUCGAUCGUCAAAUUUGGGUAUAGGGGCGAAAGACUAAUCGAACCAUU